GGGUCUCUCCUUCUCCUUCUCCUUCUUGACGCCAAAGGCUCUUUCUCCAUCUUUCUUCUUCUUCUUCCUCCUCUGUGGAGCGAAAUUGGGGGAAGCCUCUGCUGCCUUCACAAAGGACGGAGCAAAAAUGAAGCAUCAGGAAUUGCCAGGACUGCCAGAAGCGAAGCUGCAAUUAGCCGAGCGGAGCCAAGUAGAUUCAACCAGACGCUGUCGUUGUCGCCGUCGUCACCGCCGGAGGUGGCACAACCGAGUGUGGACAGUUAGUCGUCCACUCACUUCAUCAAAGAAGAAGAAGAUCACACUCUCUCUCCGCAUCUGUAUCCGACAAAUCGUAAGUUCAUGUUUCUUCCGAUUUUGGUGUCUUAUUGCGCGUGAAUUAGGGCUCUAUUCUUCAAAUUCAUUCCACAUUCGAGUCUAAAAACAGGAGUUACUCAAACAAGCAAUAUAUUGCCCUUAAAUCUACAUCUUCUGUACUUCCCUCCCGAGCAUUGGCGAGAUUUCUGCGUGUUUGAGCUCUCAUAGAUGGAGAUGAUAUAUUGUGUUCAAGGUCUCAUGUUGAAAUUUCUUUAGGUAGAGAUAUCUCUGUAACAUCAGGUACAAAUUUCUACCAGGAAAAAGGGAGAAAUCAUGGAACUUGAAAAUAUUCCGAGAAUUGCAUGCCUUGUCAAAAAUCUGAAAAGUCACUUUUACGCCUUGAUCGUAAUAUAGUCUGGACCGUCUGAGGAAUCACUUGUAAUCUUGAUUGGUUAAGUGAUGCUGGAAGGAUAAAAUUUAUUUCCAAUUUAUGCUAAAAUCUUUUUCAUAGCAAGUCAAACUAAUGAAGUGUACUUAAACUAUCUCUAAAGUUGUCGUUUUUUAAGUACAGGCAGGUCCAAACAUUCGAGCAGAUUGAGGCAUCCUGAGCUGGUUUUUUAUGGUCCCAUGCGCCCAAGGCCUCUCACUGCUUUUACAUCGGCCAACAAAUUUCAAAUGGAGCAUCCCUUUUCCAAAGGUGGUGAUGAGGCCUUCUUAUGUUAAGUUUGGCUUGGUAUGAUCCCAUGCUUGUUGAGUCGAGCUCAUGUCUGAAAAUCAAACAUAUCUUAGCUUAUACUCUGGUUUAUAUGCAAGUUGACUUAAUGUAAUAAACCACAUGACAUGUUAUUUUCCUUGAAUUGUUCAUGGGUGUAUGUUUCAAACCAGGUAUAUAUCUUAACAACAAAGUAGUUGAAGUAGGGAAAAGAAUGAAAGGACGGUUAUCGGGACAUAAGCUGGUGGUCAAGGUUUGAAAAGAUAACAAUUAUCUCCUUUUUUGUGGAUAGAUGUUUUGGAAAGCAAUUGCUGGAGCAAGUGUUAAGAAUUAGAAUCCAAGUACUCUUAUAUGGAGAAAUUUGACAAUGUUAUUCAAUGCUGUAAAAGUAGUAAUUAUAUAAAUCAUACAAGGGGACCAGUUGAUACAGACAAUCAAAUUGCAAAGAAUGUUGCUCCCUCCGUGGCUCAAGGGAAAGACCUAAAAGAUAAAAGGGUGGCUAGUUAUGAUUCUGAAGUUUGAUCGUAGAUCUUGAUGACUCUUAUUAUUAAUGUCAAACAGGAGAUACUGUUUUAUUCUGUUAUAUUAAUAAGAUAUUUGAGGAAAAAAAUAGAUGAGUUUACUUUGUCGAAUUGAAUCUGUAGUUUGAUAAAAUUCGAGCUGCAGUUGAAAGAAUUGAACAGCUUAGAUUGAAAUUUUCACUUCCAUCCAUGUUCCAGUCAUCGAUGUCUUUGCCUUUUCCCCUGCACUUGUGGUUUGUGUGGCUGAAAUUCACGGUCUCAAAUAUACAUAGGACAUGGAAGGCCUUUUCUAGUUAUGUACGCGAUCGCACUCCAGGGGCAUAUAUCUUGACAUUUGACCUUGGGUUGCAAGUUGAGAUUGUUUACUCGUAUUAUAUGGUUUAUUUUCAAUUAAAACUCCUGAAACUAGCAACUACUGCCUUAAAUUCGUAUUGUGUGAUUAGAUUCUCUCAUUAGUGUAUGCUUAUGUUUUGGUCUUUCUUCACCAUAAAUUGGUUUUUGACCAUGUAAAUGGGGACUCUGCUCCUGUUCAAUUCAUCAGGCAACAUAAUCUGGAAAAAAUGUAAAUUGCAACUCUCAGCUAUUCAGACAAGUCAUGGACGUUGAAACUCAGGAGCCAUGGACGUGGACACAGGGGGGCCUUUUUUUCUGCUGGUUGGCCCACAUUUGCUAGAGAAGCUCAUCUGCAUGUAGGAGAUGUUUGUAUUUUUGAGCUAAUUGAUAGUGAGGAUGUGUGUUCAGAGUCUACAUUUCCACUAGAGCUGGUAAGGACUUGGUUUACAUUGAUUGAAAUGAACUAUGGAAGUGUCAUUUUCGCUCAUCCAAAAUAAAUCCUGUAUUCAUCGUCAUUUCUUCUUUGGUGGUCUUGGUGAAUCAAUGAAGUAUACUUCUUCCAUUCCCGUUGUGUUUGUGAGGUUCGCAAUAAUCCAGAUGCUCACUUAUUAAUCUGCAUCCCAAAUCUAAAUGAACCAAAAAGGAUGUGAUUCAAGAUUAGAGCAAAAGUUAAAGCCUGAAACGCUCGUCAUGAGAAUUUAGAGAGGCGUGACUUGUUGGUUUCUAAGUUAUGUUUAUGUGAACAACGACACAUUCUUUUUCUUAUUCUCUCUCAAAAUUUGUGAAAUUCUCCUAAUAAGCUUUUUGUAUAUUGAUUUUGUGGCAUUAUGAUUUAGGAGGUGCUAAGGGUAGUAAUCAAUUAUGUCUAAAAUGCAGAACAUGUAGACAUUAGUACCAUGAUCACAAGUACUGAUGUUUAGAUCAUUGUAACUCAAUACAAUGUCGACAGUGGUACCUGCGAGAAUUUUCUUUUUUCUUUUGUGCCUAUCGAUCUGAACAGUCUAAAUGUCAUGUAGCCCUCCUGAGCAGGUUUUGUAUGGUUCCACGUGUCCAUGGCUGGCCACUGCUCUUGAAAAAACUAGAGAAUUUGAAUUUGAGCAUCCACUUUUGAAAUUGGUGAUUUGGCCACUUUUAUUAAAAAGAGAAUUGCAGUAAGGGCCUAUUUCCUUUCAUAAUUGGCAUAUCCCAACCGUGAUGCCAUCUACAUCUCGCCCUGUAGUCUACUAUUUUCCCAAGUGGUUUUGCUUUUUAUUGGAGAUGUUGUUUUCUUUGAAAUGUGUAUGGCUUUAUGUGUAAAACUAGGGCAGUUUUGAUUUUGAAUUUUUUUUUUUUUUUUUAAUUAUGGAUUCAGAAGAUUACAGAUUCUUAAAUAAUAGAUUGUACUUUCCUCACUACUCAGGUGUAAAGAAGAUUGCUUUUGUUCAUUGACUAAGAGGAUGUGGUGAGACAAUCAGUGUUAGCACACCUGAAGCGUUAUCAUGAGAGUUCAAAAAUAGUGUACACUAUUGUAGAGUCUAUGAGCACUGUAUCGUGACAUUUUAACAUCAAAUUGCAAGUUGGGAUUGAAGACUUCUAUUUGUCAGUUAACACUGUUAAUUGAAUUUACUGAAACUAGUAAAUACUAGCAUAUAUUAACAUUUUGUUUGCCUUGUCUUUUUAUUGUUUGUUUGUAUUUAAUCUUUUCCUCAUCAUGCUACAUUGGCGGAGUGUUCCUUGUGAAUUCAUCAAGAAGUACAUUCAGAAGAACCAUUAGAUUGCUACUCUUAGGUAUUUGAACAAAUCAUGACCAGUGCAACUCAAGACCUAUCAACACCAUUUUUUAGCAAACAUCUCUGUGGUUGGCCCAUGUUUGUGAGACAAGCUUAUCUGGAUGAAGGGGAUGUCUUCGUGUUUGAGCUCAUUGAUAUGGAUGAUUUUAUGGUCAAAGGCUCCAUCUCCAAUUAUGCUUGUAAGGACCUCAUUUAGGUCGAUUGAGAUGAACAUUGGACGCAUCACUUGAGGCUGUAUAUUAGUGAAGCAAUUCCUGCCUCACUUAUUCAGUUGCGACAAAUCAAUUGAAAGUGCGCUUACUUUUGGCUUUGCUUCUCUCUCUUGACCUACUUAUAGUCUUAUCAGAAUUCUCUUUUUUCUUUUGUCCAGGUCAGAACAGACAAGUCUGAAUGUCCAGUGAGCCCCUCCUAAGCAAUUUUUUCAUGAUUCCAAGUGUUCGAGGCCUCUCACUGCCCUUGAGAAAGCUAGAGAAUUCAAAUUGGAGUAUCCCUUUUCCAGACAGUGAUGUGGCCAUCUUUUCUUAAGAAAGAAGUGGUGGUAAGGCCCAGAUCUCCAUUCAUAACUGACGUCUCAAUUAUGCAUGCCACCUAUUCUAUAUAUGCGCCCCACUGUGCAAAUUUUUCCCACGUUAAUUUGGUUUUUAUAGAAACACAGGACAUGUUAUCUUCUGUGAAGUGAUCAUGGUUAUAUGUUUUAAACAGGAAUCUUAACAACUGAGUAAAGGGACUAGGAAAAACAAUAAGUUGGGACAGUAAUCAGGAAAUAACCUAAUGACAGGGGGUGCGGAGACAGGAUCAGAGGGUUGGGAAAGGCAAUAACAACCAUAAGUUAGCAAUUUAAUAGUUUCUAAUUGAAGUAUAAGUUCCUCCCAAAGAUGACUACUUGGUACUUUCUCAGGCUGCCUAGGCUUGGGAAGAAGAGGUGACACGAAAUGUCCAGCUUAAGCCAUAGCUACUGCAACAGGCCUAGGCUUGGCAUGACUGAGCUCACUGCAACAGCAUGGCAACACUAGUCAGAUAUUGCUCACUGGCAACAAAUGGUUUACAAGAGCUACCAUUGCAAGCAGGUUCAAACUUGCAAUCGAAAAUGAAGGGAAGCCAAUGUGGCCUAGACCUCAAAAAUUAGUGCCACCAACUCGAUGGUAUGAAACGAAGAAAAGAAGCUCACUUCUUUUUGGCCAGGCAAAAGAAGAUCACUUACUUUCUGUGCUUGUGUGUCCAUUUAGGUCCCUAUGUGUAGCUUUUCAUGUUUAUUCGAUGCAUAUUGCAAUGUAAGAUUGGUGACUCAGAUAUUCACCAGAUUCAACUUGUCUCUAUAUUGAUUACACGUACUUAGUGUAGAAUCUAAGAGCACAGGAUUGUGAUAUUUUGAUUUCAGAUUGCAAGUUGUGAUUAAAGGCGAUCUCAUCAUGUCUUUUAGACUGCUAAUAUGGACUUUGGAAACUAACAACUACUAGCAUAAAUGUACGUUUUGUUUGCCUUUUCGCUUUAGUGUAUGCUUACAUUCCUAUGUGUUAUCAUAUAUUGGCUGGUCAAAUGUCUUCAUGGGUAGAGUGUUCUUAUGAAUUCAUAAAUACAUGCAUUCAAGAAAACCAGCGAAUUGUGACUCCUGGGUGCUCGGACACAUUGUGGCG
rnacentral:lncRNA from 1 species